rnacentral:rRNA from 1 species
AGUAUAAGCAAUUAUACCGUGAAACUGCGAAUGGCUCAUUAAAUCAGUUAUCGUUUAUUUGAUAGUACCUUACUACUUGGAUACCCGUGGUAAUUCUAGAGCUAAUACAUGCAAAAAACCCCAACUUCGGAAGGGGUGUAUUUAUUAGAUAAAAAACCAAUGCCCUUCGGGGCUCCUUGGUGAUUCAUAAUAACUUAACGGAUCGCAUGGCCUUGCGCCGGCGACGGUUCAUUCAAAUUUCUGCCCUAUCAACUUUCGAUGGUAAGGUAUUGGCUUACCAUGGUUUCAACGGGUAACGGAUUUUUAGGGAAAGAUCCCGGAGAGGGAGCCUGAGAAACGGCUACCACAUCCAAGGAAGGCAGCAGGCGCGCAAAUUACCCAAUCCCGACACGGGGAGGUAGUGACAAUAAAUACUGAUACAGGGCUCUUUUGGGUCUUGUAAUCGGAAUGAGUACAAUUUAAAUACCUUAACGAGGAACAAUUGGAGGGCAAGUCUGGUGCCAGCAGCCGCGGUAAUUCCAGCUCCAAUAGCGUAUAUUAAAGUUGUUGCAGUUAAAAAGCUCGUAGUUGAACCUUGGGCCUGGCUGGCCGGUCCGCCUCACCGCGUGUACUGGUCCGGCCGGGCCUUUCCUUCUGGAGAACCGCAUGCCCUUCACUGGGUGUGUCGGGGAACCAGGACUUUUACUUUGAGAAAAUUAGAGUGUUCAAAGCAGGCCUUUGCUCGAAUACGUUAGCAUGGAAUAAUAGAAUAGGACGUGCGGUCCUAUUUUGUUGGUUUCUAGAACCGCCGUAAUGAUUAAUAGGGAUAGUCGGGGGCGUCAGUAUUCAAUUGUCAGAGGUGAAAUUCUUGGAUCUAUUGAAGACUAACUACUGCGAAAGCAUUCGCCAAGGAUGUUUUCAUUAAUCAGUGAACGAAAGUUAGGGGAUCGAAGACGAUCAGAUACCGUCGUAGUCUUAACCGUAAACUAUGCCGACUAGGGAUCGGGCGAUGUUUUUCUAUUGACUCGCUCGGCACCUUACGAGAAAUCA